UUGUAGGUUGUGUUUUUCCUCCCUUGUUUAUGCUUUUACUGCUGAACAGCAGUCAAGCAGCAGUGCUGGAGUUAGCAGUGUGCAUUAGCUAAGACACUGCAAUGCAAGAAUCACUGGGGUUUGAAGUGUGCUGCAGGGCCAGCAAGCUUAAAGUACUACCUAAUUGAGGCAGAAGGUCUAUGUGCAUAGGCUGAGGCAGUGCUUGAAUUAAUAUUGCAGUUGAGGACAAGCUGUCUCUUACUUGAAUUUAUCAUUAUCUUCAUCUUGGAAUGGUUUUCUUCAUUUCUCCAACUUCCUUAAGAUUUCUCUUUGUGGUUGAAUGUUUGUGCUU